CAAAAGUCAAAACUUAUAUUUUAAAGACAAAUUUUUUAUUUAUAGUUCCCUUAAUCAUUGUCGUGAGGGCACUGGUUAGCAAGACCCAUAAUAUAAACAUCAAUGAUAUUUUGAUACCUCUAAUUAUCUAACAUUCAUUCAACACAUAUUAUUCUCUAUAUAUUUUUAUUCAAUCAUAUUACAAGCAUUUUCUCUCUCUCUCUCUCCAAAUAUAUUUUUAAAUAUAAAAUAAAAAGAAAUAUAAAUACUAUUUUUAUUCAAUCAUAUUACAAGCAUACUCUCUCUCUAUAGUGGGUGUAUGGGUGUCCAAAUAUAUUUUUAAAUAUAAAAUAAAAAGAAGUAUAAAUACUAAUGAUCUUUUUAGUUACCUGUUCUUCUAACAAUUGGACCAAUAUCUUCAUCCAUAUCAUCAUCGUUGGUCAGAUCGAUGAUAUCAUUGUCGGUCAGAUCGAUGACAUUGUCGUCCGUCAAAUCAAUGACAUUGUCUUCAGUCAGAUCAAUGACAUCAUCAUCAGACAGAUAAAUGACAUCAUUGGUCGGAUCAAUGACAUCAUUUUUAUUAAUCUCUAUUUGCUCAUGUGAAGCUUCUAAUGGUGGACUUGAUGACUUUUGGUUGGAGACAUUAUAACUGAAUCAACCAUAAAAAAUGCGUUAAGAUGUUAAUUUCUAUCAAAUAUAUUCUUAAGCAAAAAUUUGUUUUAAAAAAUUAUUUUCAAUACAUAUAUAAUAAUAACAACCUUUUAUACUUGGUGGUGUAAGACAUGGUUUCUGUUACAAUCUUAUUUACUAUACUAGAUAUUUCUUAUCAACAUCUACAUAGUUAACAUCAAAUAUAUAAAACACUAAAUUACUACAAAUAUGUAUAUAACUUUUAUUAAUGCAUGUGCUUAUUUUAAAGAGUUCAUGGAGAACUGGUAGCAAUAAAGGUUAAUGGUUAAGACCGUCUCUAACUAAAAUUUGAAAAAUUGGGUAUAUCAGUUGCCUCUUUUAUAUAUCUUUAAUUUAGUUCAUUUUUAGCUGAUGUGUGGAUAAUCGCUUAUAUAUUAAAGCUAAAAAAAUUUGUUCAAGCAUGAGUCUCUCAUAUAACUAUACUUACAUACCAACUAACGAAACACAUCGUCUAACUGUAUGGCUUAUAAAAUUUUCGAAACAAAAGUGCAUAUACCUAGAUCUAAUCCCUACCAUAAAGGUUGUACACCACUCGUUGGGUAAAGAUAUUACACAAUAAAAACAUCUAAGAGACCUUGUGAUCUCAUCUUCACCUAAAAUAUAUUCUUUUUUCAUAUGUGACUAAUCACUUAGACUUGAACUCCAUCAAUCUCCCUCAAAAUGUGUGUCUCUCUCAUAUCAUUAUACUAAACCAAUUACACAGGAAUCCACUCACACUCCCCAUCAAGUAGAAUCAAGAGUGUGAGAUCACUUGUUAGAGCGUCCAAAAACUACUAAGACGAACAACAAACUAGUGAUCAUGACUGCCAAGAGACGCUCACGCCUCAUAAGAAAGUACCUAUUAUGUUAGAUAAUCAUAUUUGAGUAAUGGGAUAGAUAAUAAUGAAUAACUCUUACCCCACACUGAAAGGUUCACAAUUGUGUGUAUCUUGAUGAUCAUAUUUGGACAAAUCAAUGAAGAAUGAACCGAUUUUGACAAAUGAUCCCAUGACUAGCUUGAUGACUAAAAAUUAGAGUAUGCUUUCAAGUUAUUCUCAACACCUCUUUUUGUCUCUCUGCAUGCACAAAACAAACAACUAGUUUAUAUAAAUAUCAACAUAAUUUUUUUAUUUAAAAACAAAUCAAAUAUUAAUAUUUUAAAAAAAAAAUAUGCUCUAAUAGUCAAAUAAAGUUAUUGUUAAUCAAAUUAUUACGAGUCUACAUAAAUGAAAUAAAAAUACCAAUAACCUAAGACAAUAAUAUCUUAUGCAAACUUUUUAGCUUAGGAUUUAUGCAAGGCUUCUAAGAGUCUAACAUCAAAUAUGUGCUAAACAAUUUAAGAUUUUAAGCAUAAAUAAUACAUACAUACAUGUAUAAAUAUAACCCAUUAGAAUAAAAAAUGUCAAAAAAAAAUUCAAGGAUUCAUUGAGGAGAAAUUACAUUUUACUUCAUACCAUUAAUUGGCAGUUACACACAAAAAAGCAUUUAUUAAAUAAGUAUUUUUCAAAUCAAUGAGUUCACAACAUUGAAUAUAUAUAUAUAUAUGCUAGAAAGAGUUUACAACAUCGGGCGUAAGUUGUUUUUUAAGGAAAAGCUAGGCGGUAAGCUAGUUGAUUAGUUUUAGCAAUUAAAACUUUAAUUGUAAGAUGUUUAUAAAAUAUGGUAAACUAAAAUUCACUUAAAGAGAGCUAAAAAAAAAAAGCUCUUUUGAAUCAUCUAUAGUCGAUUAUACAAUGUUCAAAUUAUAGGUCAUUAGAUUAUGAUAUAUAAAAAUUAUCUCUCUUGAUUUAACAAUCUAUAGCCGGAUGCACCAUACAGGUGAUAGGCCAACGCAAUAACUUUCAAUAGAUAAUGAGGCUUAAAGUAAAUUUUAAUAAAUUAAAACUUAUUGUAUACAUAUGGGGCCUUUUUUAAUUUAUAAAAACUUAUCCCAGAUUAUUUUUAUUAGUGAACCACAACUUAGGGAUUCAGGAGCUUUACCCUUGAAUCGACCCUAACAGUUGAUUGUAGGGAUCUUACUAAUUAGUUGCACAUUGAUGGGUAAUUUUUUUUAAUAGAUCCGCACAAAUUAAACAAAAUAAAAUAAUUUGUGUAAUUAAGACAAAUUACAUUAAUAGCCAAUUUUUUUUUUUUUUUUUUUGUCAAGUAGCCAGGCUAGAACUCACACAAUUUAAUUGUGGAGAAGUGGAGCGUCCGGGGUUCGAACCCCGGCUCCUGCAUAUAAAAUGCAAUAUCCCUACUAACUGAAUUAAGUUCACGGGGAUACAUUAAUAGCCAAUUUAAUGGUCAGGGUACCAUUUCAUAUGUUCAGAUAGUCCAAGUUAAAUCUGAUUAAGUUGUAACCCUAAAAUGUGAAACUCCUCAGAAAACCCUAAAAUCCAAAUAUGUUUUCAUAUGAGUUUGGAUACCUGAUUCGCCUAUCUGAAUUGAUUACACCUGAGCUAAAUCAAAAUUAAAUUGGAUACCUGAAUUGAUUACAAUAGAACUUAAUCAUCAUGAAUCGUAAACCAAAAUUAAAUUGUAGAAAGAUUUGAUACCUAAUUCGCCAGUCAGAAUUGAUUACACCUGAACUAAAUCGGUGUUUAGAUAUUCUCUUGCGCCGCGAUAAGAAGUGGUUUCACUCUCAUGAGAAGAUGAAUAGGUUUUUAAUUGGGCCGACUAUAAGUGUCCAUAUCCAAACAAUGGUGAACAGUAUAUGAAUGAGCAAAAUUAGAUAAAGGUACUUUUCGCACCUCCUUAUUUUUCUUAUAAGCUACUCAUUCACACUUUUUAUACACAAUAAUCAAUUUUAAAGUCUUUUAUACAAAAUACUAGUUAUUUUAAUUUUUACAAAUGAAACUUAAUUUUCAGAACACAACACAUUGUAUGUAUGUAUGUAUGUGUUUUAUGAGUUCUUCUCUCUGCCACAAACUUUUUUGUGGUCUAUAAUGGAAUGAUCCACUUCUUUCAAAGAAGGGACCUCUAUUUAUAUAUUUUCAAAAUUAGAUUUUCAUUCGGCAAAUGUUGCUCGCCUAGCGAAUCUGAGCUUUCUUUAAAUGGAGGAAAGUGAUAGCUCAUCCUCAAGGUCACUAAACUAUCUUACAUUGAUGGAAAAAUAGAUGAUCGCCCAACAAAUUUUCUCUUGUAUUUUCCGUCAAAACUCUCUGGAAUCCUUCGCUUUUAGCUUGCUCAUCUUAACUAGCAAAAGUACUUUGGAUCAUAAUCCUGGAUCUUUAUCCUUCUUGGUCAUUAAUCUCAAAAAUCUACAACAUAUGAAAGGAAAUAGUUCAAGGUAGCUUAAUUAGCAUAAAACUAUGUAUUUAUAUGAAAUUGGAGAUUUUCCUAUAUUACUUGCAAAAUAAGUUAUUAAACGCUUUAAUUAAAUAGGUCAAAUAACCAAAAUUUGGGAUAUAUACCAACUCUCUCCAACUUAGAAAUUUCUUUUGUCCUCAAACAAAAAUCCUCAAAAAAAUUUCAAAAAGUAAAUCAACAAUGAUGCAUAUUAAAGUUUGGCUUAAAUGCACUUUUAGUAACCCCCUAACUUUGUCCCUUUUUCAAGUAGUCAAUUUUGACUCGUGCGUGAUUAUAGUUGAACUAUGCAUGAUUCUACUAACUUUACCCCCUUUUACAAGUAGCCAAUCAUUUUGAAUCUUUGCACCAUGCAUGAUUCCACUAAAUUGCACAACUAAGACAAAUGUGCACAACCCUCCUAAGAUCAAAACAUGAAUAUGAGAAUGACUCGGAUUUAAGAAAAUCAUAAAUUACAGCGGGGUGUCUACAAAACAAACUAUGAAACUAGCAAUGCUCAACAACUCUAAAAAGGAAUCAAAGAAUCAAAAGUCAAACACAUCGACCACGAACAGAAACUCAACCGCAACAACUCUAGCACUGCCGUCGGCAGAUCCUGGAGCCAUAACCAUCAAGAACCCAUCCAGAUAUCUAAGAAAACCGAAAUUUUUGAAAUAUCUACCGUUAAAUAGAUCUGUGCAUACGACAUCCAACUUCUACCACUGUGAAGUAUGUGUAAAUGACCCUUGUAUGGACCACCGCCAUGAUAAAAGGCGGAGGUUGUUGAUGCUCACCCAAACAGAGGUUGCUGCGAACAGCCCAAACCAAUGGAGCUUUGGAGGACGUCAGGAGGAUGGAGACACCGCGAACUAGAACAACCUCAACCAAAAUAACCGAUGUCGAAAACGCCGACAAAUCUAGGAUGUGGGUGGUGCGGAAAAAGAAUUGAUUCUUUUUAAAUACAUAUAUUGCUUAUCGAAUAACGUUAGCAAUUCUCGUAGCAAUUGCAUGUGCAAAACGUAGUUGUAUAACUUGUUUUAUCAUCUAUUAAAAAGAAAUUUUAAAUGAAAUAUAUUUAUUAUAAUGAUUUAAUAAACGAU
rnacentral:lncRNA from 1 species